rnacentral:rRNA from 1 species
GCGUAAUAGCUCACUGGUCGAGUCGGCCUGCGCGGAAGAUGUAACGGGGCUAAACCAUGCACCGAAGCUGCGGCAGCGACACUGUGUGUUGUUGGGUAGGGGAGCGUUCUGUAAGCCUGCGAAGGUGGCCUGUGAGGGUUGCUGGAGGUAUCAGAAGUGCGAAUGCUGACAUAAGUAACGAUAAAGCGGGUGAAAAGCCCGCUCGCCGGAAGACCAAGGGUUCCUGUCCAACGUUAAUCGGGGCAGGGUGAGUCGACCCCUAAGG